rnacentral:misc_RNA from 1 species
GAUGAAGAACGCAGCGAAAUGCGAUAAGUAAUGUGAAUUGCAGAAUUCAGUGAAUCAUCGAAUCUUUGAACGCACAUUGCGCCCGCCAGUAUUCUGGCGGGCAUGCCUGUUCGAGCGUCAUUUCAACCAUCAAGCCCCCGGCUUGUGUUGGGGACCUGCGGCUGCCGCAGGCCCUGAAAACCAGUGGCGGGCUCGCUAGUCACUCCGAGCGUAGUAAUACAUCUCGCUCAGGGCGUGCUGCGGGUUCCGGCCGUUAAAAGCCUUAUUUACCCAAGGUUGACCUCGGAUCAGGUAGGAAGACCCGCUGAACUUAAGCAUAUCAAAAGCGGAGGA